rnacentral:tRNA from 1 species
GCGCCGAUGGUGUAGGGGUUAUCACCGGGCCUUGCCAAGGCUCAGACCCGGGUUCGAAUCCCGGUCGGCGCA